ACAAAGCGUCUCCUUGGAACAUCUCUUCUUCCAGACAGCUACUGUUCUGGGACUAGUCACUGGAUCUGGGGCGUGUGAGGGUUUCUCUGUGUAGCCCUGGCUGUCCUGGAAGUCUCUCUUCUUGAAGGCAGAGACAGUUCACAGAUACCGAUGUAAGAAGAAUGAGUACAGGUGAUUAAACAAGAUGCUAUGGACCGGAGCUGGAGCGCUGCCGGAGGAGAGUGGAGCUGAACUACAGUUUCAGAGCUGCAGUACCCUGAGCCCCGUUGGGGGCCGGAGGAGAUUUUGGGGACGAGGUGCAGGACCACAGGGGUGGGAAGAUCGACCUUCAAUCUGGGCCACGCCUUCUGCUGGAAGCCGACAUAAAGAAAUAGAGAAAGGAAGAUUGCUUUCUCUUGCCUUGACUUUCCUCUCCCUUGCUGACAAGCCCAUUCCUUCACUGGCAUCAGCGAUUACGUCUUGAAGAUUUUAGCAUAUACUGAAGAUACUCACUCAGCUGAGAUACUCAGCCUUGUGAACGGAACAAGAUUCUGAUACUAGAUUCUUGGAAUUUCCGUCGGCAGAGAGUCAUUGUUUGGAUUAGCCAAACCACAGCCUGUAGGGCUGCUCUAACACAUCCCCUUUCUCUAUCUAUAUUUAGAUGCAUUCUACCAGUUCUGCUCCUUUAGAGCAGUGGUUCUCAACCUGCGGGUCCCAACCCUUUUGGGAGCUAAAUGACCCUUUCACAGUGGUGGCAUAUUAGAUAUCCUGCUUAUCAGAUUUUUAUAUUACAGGUCAUAACAACAGUAAAAUCACAGCUAUGAAGUAGCAAGAGAGGCCAGAGAAACACGUAGACGCCCAUGUGGAGAGCAGAGGAGGGCAGCAUUGUACGCAGAGAAACAAGGGACAAACGAGGGAAGCAGGGAGGGAGAGAGAAAUGACAGCUGAGGCAUGGACCCUAGAAUUCGUAAUUAAAUUCUGUGGGAGGCAGAAGCCCGCAGAAACAAAUGCUAUGUAUAUAGGGAAGGCAUGGCAUGGGGCAGGACAGGAACCAGCUGAUCACAUUCACCACACACCGGAAGCAGAAAGAAUGUCAAGUGGAUGAGGCUACAAACCCCCAAAGCCUGGCUUCAGUAAUUUACUUCCCCCUUUAAGGUUCUGUCUCCUGAAGAUCCCAUAGCCCCUCUAAUCAUUGCCACCCACUGAGAACCAAGUGUUCAAUACACCAGCCUACGGGAACACUUCUCCUCCAAACCACCACACAGUCACUGGUUUGUUUGUUUGUUUUUCUAUUUAUGUAUUUAUUUAAACUCAGGGUCUUACUGUAUAGCCCUAGCCCACUUGAAACUCAUCAUGUAUACUGCGCUGGCUUCAAACUCACAGAGAUCCAACUGCCUCUGCCUUCCCAAUGAUAGAAUUAAAGGCGUGUAUCAUCAUGCCUGGCCUGACAGGGUUGUUUUAAAUUGUAUGUUUAUUCUCCUUUGUUAGAGAUUAUUUGAGGCAGUUUCUAGUAUGACUAC
rnacentral:lncRNA from 1 species